GCCCGCGUGGUGGAAUGGUAGACACGUCGGAUUCAAAAUCCGAUGCUUUCGAGCGUGGCGGUUCAAGUCCGCCCGCGGGUACCA
rnacentral:tRNA from 1 species